ensembl:rRNA 5S_rRNA 5S ribosomal RNA
UUCUAAGACCACACCAUCCUGAACACACUCAAUCUCAUAUGAUCUCAGAAGCUAAGCAUGAUUGAGCCUGAUUACUUGGAUAGGAGACCACCUGGGACUACCGGGUGCUGUAAGUU